CGACCUGAGUUCGCUAGAUUGCUGCCGCCUGCCGGAAAAGUUCGUCGCCGUUGACCGCUUCCGAGUUCCGACUUCUCCAAGCAGCAAAUUGUCCACAUUUGAAUUAAUAUACAAGAAUACAAGUGAAAGAUGGUUGAUGAUAGGAGUAGUCCUCCCCGUAA